rnacentral:rRNA from 1 species
GAUGAACGCUGGCGGCGCGCCUAACACAUGCAAGUCGAACGGUUAAGGCCCCCUUUAGGGGGCGCAUAGAGUGGCGAACGGGUGAGUAACACGUGACCAACCCGCCCCCCCCACCGGGACAACCUCGGGAAACCGAGGCUAAUACCGGAUACGCCGGGGCCCCCGCAUGGGGGCUCCGGGAAAGCCUUGGCGGGAGGGGACGGGGUCGCGGCCCAUCAGGUAGACGGCGGGGCGAAGGCCCGCCGUGCCGACGGCGGGUAGCCGGGCUGAGAGGCCGAUCGGCCACAUUGGGACUGAGACACGGCCCAGACUCCUACGGGAGGCAGCAGUGGGGAAUAUUGCGCAAUGGGGGAAACCCUGACGCAGCGACGCCGCGUGCGGGAAGGAGGCCUUCGGGUCGUAAACCGCUUUCAGCAGGGAAGAAGCCUGACGGUACCUGCAGAAGAAGCCCCGGCUAACUACGUGCCAGCAGCCGCGGUAAUACGUAGGGGGCGAGCGUUAUCCGGAUUCAUUGGGCGUAAAGCGCGCGCAGGCGGCCCGCCAAGCGGCCUCGUCGAAGCCGGGGGCUCAACCCCCGGAAGCGACCCGAACUGGCGGGCUCGAGUGGGGCAGGGGAGGAUGGAAUUCCCGGUGUAGCGGUGAAAUGCGCAGAUAUCGGGAGGAACACCGACGGCGAAGGCAGCCCUCUGGGCCUUCACUGACGCUGAGGCGCGAAAGCGUGGGUAGCAAACAGG